rnacentral:miRNA from 12 species
AGUGGCAGUCAGGACCUGGAGC